rnacentral:rRNA from 1 species
CCUGGCUCAGAACGAACGCUGGCGGCAGGCCUAACACAUGCAAGUCGAGCGAGAUCUUCGGAUCUAGCGGCGGACGGGUGAGUAACGCGUGGGAACGUACCCUUUUCUACGGAAUAGCCUCGGGAAACUGGGAGUAAUACCGUAUACGCCCCUUGGGGGAAAGAUUUAUCGGAGAAGGAUCGGCCCGCGUUGGAUUAGGUAGUUGGUGGGGUAAUGGCCUACCAAGCCGACGAUCCAUAGCUGGUUUGAGAGGAUGAUCAGCCACACUGGGACUGAGACACGGCCCAGACUCCUACGGGAGGCAGCAGUGGGGAAUCUUAGACAAUGGGGGCAACCCUGAUCUAGCCAUGCCUCAUGGGUGAUGAAGGCCUUAGGGUUGUAAAGCUCUUUCAGCUGGGAAGAUAAUGAC